rnacentral:rRNA from 1 species
UACAGAGGUCUCAAGCGUUGUUCGGAUUCAUUGGGCGUAAAGGGUGUGUAGGUGGCGCCGUAAGUCGGGUGUGAAAUUUCGGAGCUUAACUCCGAAACUGCAUUCGAUACUGCGGUGCUUGAGGACUGGAGAGGAGACUGGAAUUCAUGGUGUAGCAGUGAAAUGCGUAGAGAUCAUGGGGAAGACCAGUGGCGAAGGCGGGUCUCUGGACAGUUCCUGACACUGAGACACGAAGGCCAGGGGAGCAAACGGGG